rnacentral:rRNA from 1 species
UACGUAGGUGGUAAGCGUUGUCCGGAUUUACUGGGCGUAAAGGAUGCGUAGGCGGACAUUUAAGUCAGAUGUGAAAUACCCGAGCUUAACUUGGGUGCUGCAUUUGAAACUGGGUGUCUAGAGUGCAGGAGAGGUAAGUGGAAUUCCUAGUGUAGCGGUGAAAUGCGUAGAGAUUAGGAAGAACACCAGUGGCGAAGGCGACUUACUGGACUGUAACUGACGCUGAGGCACGAAGGCCAGGGGAGCAAACGGG